GUCUACAGCUGUGCCGCCGUGAAUGUGCCUGAUCUUUUCUGAUCUCGGAAGCUAAGCAGGGUCAGACCUGGUUAGUGCAUGGAUGAGAGACCACUUGUGAAUACCAGGUGCCGCACCCC
rnacentral:rRNA from 1 species